GAUAAAGAAACAAAGGGCUUAUGGCGGAUCCCUAGGCACUCAGAGACGAUGAAAGGCGUGUUUACCGACGAAACGCUUCAGGGAGCUGGAAGAGUGCAUUGAUCUGAAGAUUCCUGAAUGGGUCAACCCAAAGAUCUCUUUUUCAAUUCAUAGAAAAGAGAAAGAUAACUUCGUGAACUGAAACAUCUUAGUAACGAAAGGAAAAGAAAGCAAAAGCGAUUCCCUUAGUAGCGGCGAGCGAAGCGGGAACAGCCUAAACUUCUUUGUUUUCAAAAAUGAAUCAAAGAAGGGUUAUGGGACAAAAAAUACAAUUUUCGUGAAACAUAAAAAUAGAUGAAAUAGUUGAAUCCUAUACCAUAGAUGGUGAAAGUCCAGUAAUUUUAUUUAGACAAGAACGAAUAGUUGAAUAAAUGUUUUUGAAUCCCAAGUAGCAUGAUAUACGUGGAAUCUCGUGUGAAUUUGCGAGGACCACCUCGUAAGGCUAAAUACUCCUGAGUGACCGAUAGCGAAGAAAGUACCGUGAGGGAAAGGUGAAAAGAACCCCAGUCGGGGAGUGAAAUAGACUAUGAAACCAUAAGCCUACAAUAUGUAGAAGAUCUUUUAAAGAUUAACUGCGUGCUUGUUGAAGAAAGAGCUGGCGACUUAGAAGGGAAGGCCUGGUUAAAAGAUAUUUGUCUUGAAGCCAAAGCGAAAGCGUGUCUGAAAAGGGCUUUUGUCUUUCCUUCUAGACCCGAACCUAAGUGACCUAUCUUUGGACAGGAUGCAACCCAGGUAAAACUCGGUGAAGGUCCGAACCGUGUGAUGUUGAAAAAUCAUCGGAUGAGCUGAAGAUAGCGGUGAAAUGCCAAUCGAACUUAGAGCUAGCUGGUUCUCCUCGAAAUGCGUUGAGGCGCAGCGUUCAUUUAUGUAAUUUGAAGGGGUAAAGCACUGUUUCGAUGCGGGCUGCGAGAGCGGUACCAAUUUGUCACAAACUCAGAAUACUUCAAACAAUUCAAAUGAGCAGUGAGACUAUGGGGGAUAAGCUUCAUUGUCGAGAGGGAAACAGCCCAGAUGAUUCGUUAAGGCCCCUAAAUAUGUACUAAGUGAUAAAGGAUGUGAGAGGCCACAAACAACCAGGAGGUUUGCUUAGAAGCAGCCAUCCUUUAAAGAGUGCGUAACAGCUCACUGGUCAAGGACUCUUGCGCCGAAAAUGUCCGGGGCUCAAGUACAUUGCCGAAGCGGUCAAUUUUUUGGUAGAGGAGCGUUCUCCUACACGUAGAAGUUAUAUCGUGAGAUAUAGUGGAGAGGGGAGAAGUGAGAAUGUCAGCUUAAGUAACGAAAACCUUGGUGAGAAUCCAAGGCUCCGAAAACCUAAGGUUUCCUCCGCAAGGUUCGUCCACGGAGGGUUAGUCAGCACCUAAGGCGAGGCCGAAAGGCGUAGUCGAUGGAAAUUAGGUUAAUAAUCCUAAACUUUUUCUUUUUAGUCACGGGGGACGAAACUUAUGAUGAAGAGGAACAAAAAACUCUUCUUUUUUUCCUAGAAAAGCCCGGAUGACUUCGAAAAGCUAAAAGCUGUACCGUAAACUGACACAGGUGGGUGGGUAGAAUAUACUAAGGAGCGCGAGAGAACUCUCUCUAAGGAACUCGGCAAAAUCACCCCGUAACUUCGGGAUAAGGGGUACUCAUAUUAUGAGUCGCAGUGAAUAGACCCAGGCGACUGUUUACCAAAAACAUAGGUCUCCGCAAAGUCGUAAGACAACGUAUGGGGGCUGACUCCUGCCCAGUGCUAGAAGGUUAAGGAAGUUGGUUCGUUUCGACAAAGCUAGCAACCGAAGCCCUAGUGAACGGCGGUCGUAACUAUAACGAUCCUAAGGUAGCGAAAUUCCUUGUCGGGUAAGUUCCGACCUGCACGAAAGGAGUAACGAUCUGGGUACUGUCUCGGAGAGAGGCUCGGUGAAAUAAGAUUGUCUGUGAAGAUUCGGACUACCUUCACUUGGACAAAAAGACCCUAUGAAGCUUUACUGUGUCUUGGAAUUGAAUUCGAGCUU
rnacentral:rRNA from 1 species